GACGAACGCUGGCGGCGUGCUUAACACAUGCAAGUCGUACGGUAAGGCCCUUUCGGGGGUACACGAGUGGCGAACGGGUGUGUAACACGUGAGUAACCUGCCCACAACUUUGGGAUAACGCUAGGAAACUGGUGCUAAUACUGGAUAUGUGCUCCUGCUGCAUGGUGGGGGUUGGAAAGCUCCGGCGGUUGUGGAUGGACUCGCGGCCUAUCAGCUUGUUGGUGGGGUAGUGGCCUACCAAGGCGGCGACGGGUAGCCGGCCUGAGAGGGUGACCGGCCACAUUGGGACUGAGAUACGGCCCAGACUCCUACGGGAGGCAGCAGUGGGGAAUAUUGCACAAUGGGCGCAAGCCUGAUGCAGCAACGCCGCGUGCGGGAUAACGGCCUUCGGGUUGUAAACCGCUUUCAGCAGGGACGAAGCUUUUUGUGACGGUACCUGCAGAAGAAGCACCGGCUAACUACGUG
rnacentral:rRNA from 1 species